GACCCAUUAGCUCAGUUGGCAGAGCACCUGACUUUUAAUCAGGGAGUCCGGCGUUCGAGUCGCCGAUGGGUCACCA
rnacentral:tRNA from 1 species